rnacentral:lncRNA from 1 species
CUUUUCAGUUCUGUCUUCCUGAGGCUGCUGUUUCUGGGCAUGGCCAGGGGAUCUUCAGACUUUACAAACCAGUUGUGCAGAGCCAGGCAUUUCAAUAAGGAACAAAAUGCUGAGUAACAACAUGAAGUCAGAGUGUUGCUUGCCAAGAGCUGGGAGGCCUGGGUGGUUUCCCAAUCUUAAAGAAGCAGAAGGAUAUUAAAGUGAGCCUCCCAAAGGAAAACGUGGAUCUACUUACCAACGCAGAAAAUGAUACACACGGAUUCGAUUUAGAAUUCUGGAGGAAAGUGGCUCUGGGAAUUGAACAGUGGCUCAGUGAUGUUGGGGCCACCAAGUCUGCAAUUCUCCCUACCUGUUCUUCAUGGUUGUAAGAUGACUGCUGCAAUUCUCGGCAUCAUGUGCAUGUUAAUGUCAGGAGGAAGAAAGGAAGAGGGAGCACUGGGAUGUUACAUUCAUUUUGUCAGGAAAAGCAAAGCCUUUCCAGACAGCUCCGAAACUUGCUUACCUCUCAUUGGCCAGCACCAUCACUUGACCACUUGUCCACUCCUAGCUGCAAGGAAAGUGGCAAAGUAGAAGGUAUUUGAGAAUGUCUGCUGGGUUAGCCAAAACAAUAGUGACUUCUACACCCAAUUUUCUGGGCACUGCAGAAGUAUCCUUGAGUCCUAUGUGAUCAGAGGGAGAGCAAACCUCAAUAAUGAAACAGAUUCAAUUUCCAUCACCCAGUGAGACACCAUGGGAUUAGAAUAAAUUUUUAAAAAAACAAAUUGAAAAAAAUGCAUUUUUAAAACAACAAAAUCAGAAAGGAUGAAAGGUGAUAUUUCUAGCAUAUCAGUUUGUGGUGGUAAAUUAAUUACCUUAUACAAAGGCCUCAGUGACUUUCUUCUCCUUACCUAACGAAUCAUCUUUAAAAUAAGUAAAAUAAAGAAACAAGAGCAGCAGCAGAUGCUUCCUAAAAAGAAGUUACCAAAUCUGUUCACCACAAACCUGAGAAUUCAACUGUGGACAUUUGGACACCAGCAAUGAACAUGAAACUCAGCUUAUGAGGCAUAUUUGGCUAAAGGUCAAGGUGACUUAAAGUUCAUCAUAGGACAUCUACAAUUUGCAAAGCAGGUGACUGGAUAUGGACUCCUUCCAAGUCUCAUUUAAUUGGAUAAUGCCUACGUUUUAAGUAUCAGAAGUGAGUCUUUCUCUAUUAAAUGAAGUCAGUUCCACUAAAACCUAAAUCUUGUUUGGCAGGCACUCCAUGUUUCUUAAUUUUUAUUCCAUGCUGUAUAUUCUUUUAGACUUGAUUUUCACUUUUUUUUCUUUUUUCCUGUACAUUUAUCUUUGCUGUGAAACAAAGUGCCCUGCUUUGAAGGACAGGUUUGUGGGCUGCUGGUGGUGAGACAACAGCAGUCCUUCCAAGUCUUCCUCCCAUCACUCUGUUAGCUCUCCCUUUGUUUUUAAUUAGCAUUACACCAGUUAAUUCUGUUAUCUCUUAACCCUGGUUCUGCAUCCUCUUCUUCUUUUCUAUUCCUUACUCCGCUCCUGUUUUUUCUUGUUCUGCUUUUCCAAGAAAUGUCUUGUCUCCUCAUCAGUUGACUGUCUUCUCUUUCCAGAGGGACCAUAAAGGUGCCAGCCUAAGGAACACGUAAAACGUGGGAACAGACAAACAAGCUGCUGCCUAUUACAGAGAUAGAUAAUUAACUUUGGACCAUUACAUGCAAUUCAUCAGCUUAUCUUUUUCAAACUUUAUAUAAGAAGUCAUUUCCCAAUGGUAACCACUUGCCAGCUGCAACUUUGACGCAUAUUAUCAGGAUAGGUGAGAUUGAUGGGGGCCCUUUGAACUCUUCCCAGGGAAUUAUCUUUAUAAUGUUACAGUUUUCUCUAUAGCAUGGUCAUAUUGUUAACAUUGGUUAUAAGGUCAUAUGGUUAGUAUGGUUAGUAUUGGUGGCUCACAGCUGUAAUACCAGCACUUUGGGAGGCCAAGGUGGGAGGAUCACUUGAGCCCUGGUGUUCAAAACCAGCUCUGGAAACAUAGCAAGACCUUGUCUCUACAAAAAAAAAUUAAAUAAAUUAAAAGAUUAGCUGGGCAUGGUGGCACAUGCCUGUAGUCCUCACUACUUGGGAAACUAAGGUGGGAGGAUCCUUUGAGCUUGGGAGGUUGAGGCUGCAGUGAGCUGUGGUUGUGCCAUGGCACUCCAGCCUGGGUGACAGAGUGAGAGCCUGUCUCAAAAAAAAAAAAAAAAAAAAAAAAAAGUACCUGUAAGGUCUUUGGGAUUUUGAAGAUGAAAGGUGUUGCAUAAAUUGAAUGAAUUCACUUAGAGAGAUAGAAGGCAACUACAGGGAAUAUUACGUACAUCAUGGAGCGGAAAGCACUAAGGCCUGUGGAAUUAUUCUCAGUGACACGUCGUUGAGGGCAGUGGUCCACAUGUUUUGAACAUGGUUUCUCCCAGGUGAAAAGGAUGAGUAAUUUGUUCUCCUUCACAUGUGUGUAUGUAGGUCUUAUACACAGCAGAUUUGCCACAAAACAAAUGAAGAUUACACUUUGGGCCCCUCUCUCACAUGAGCCCCUUCCAAAGUUCUGUUUGCUAAUUUUACAUUUUGUAAUUUCUUAUUAUUUUUCUUAAAGAAGCCUCCUCCAAUUGCAUAAACUUCAAGCCUCACAAAAUUUGGAUCCAUACCUGAGCCAACAUACAAUACAAUUUUCCAUUUCUAACUUUUAGUUGUACCUAGUGUUUUAUUGGAAAUGAUCAAGUACAUGAGUGGUGUCUUUUUAAAAAAUUUACUUUAUUUGCUUCUCUAGCUUCAUCGUUAGUUAGGCAGUUAAAUCUAACCAUUUGGAGGUAUUUUCAUAUAACCUCCAUUGAGGACAAUUUGGCAAUAGCUUUUAAAAUUAUAAAUAUAUUUGUACAGUUAUAAGCUGCCAUAUCUAUAAAACUAUUUGAUAGACAAAAGUUGAAAACCCUCCAAGAGCUCAUCAAUAAAAGAUUAAAUUAAUUAUGAUACAUCCAUAUGAGCACUGAGCAGCUGUGAAAAAAAUGAGGAAGUAAUUCCUGUGCUGAUAUGGGAAGACUUCCAAGACAUGUUGUUAAGUACAGAAUGGUGUAUACAGUAUGCUAUAUAGUGUGGUAAAAGGUUUAGGGAUAAGCAUUUAUAUUUAUAACUGUUUAUAUUUACAUAAAGUAAUUCUGAAAGGAUACAAAAAAGCUAACAAAAGAGAUUACCUGUGGUAGUGUGGGGCUUGGGGAUUGGAUGGGUGAGAAACAGUAGUGGAAAUGAGAUAUUGUACAGUUUAAGGCAUUAUACACCUAUAAAAACAUGGGAAUGUAUUACCUACUCAAAAAGUGAAAUUAAGAGAGAUACAAGAAACUGUUUGGAUGUUCCUUCCCGUUUCAAUGUAUCUAUAUUUUUUCAGCCCUCAAAGUUAUUAUAAAUGUCAUUAUAAUAACUUCAUAAAGCUUCCCCUAUAAUGAGAAUCUUACCAUUCUCCUAACUCCAAUAGCACUGUAAUCCACCUCUGUUAGGACACAUCACUCUUCAUCAUGUGUGAUUAUUAUUUGCAGAUAUCAUCUUCAAGGCUCUUCUCUAUUUACCACCUGCCAUUCUUGUUCUCACCUCUACAUGACCUUCACAUUUUAUUUCUCUCGGUUUUUUGGACAAGCUACAUUCCCUUCCACAGAGAAGGCUUCCCUGACCCCUUUCACUUGGUUGGAUUACCUUGCUAUUCUUUUCUAUCUUUGUACAUUCCUUUUCAAAAUACUUAUCUCCCUUGUUGUUACCUAUAAUGUCUGUCUUCUUUACUCAAGAGUCUAGACAAAAAGCUCCACGCCAGCCUCGGCUGUGUUUGUAUUGUUUACGUCUGUGUUCCUAGUGCUUAAUAAAAUACCUAGCAAGGGUUAAUAAGUACUUGUUGACUGGAAGGGAAUGACUUCCUUCCCUUACUAGAGAGUGAUUUCCUUACAGGCGAGAUGUGUCAACCUUCUAUAGCCCACAUAAAAUAAAGGACAAUAUCUCCUAUUGGAUAAAAGACAAGAAUUUACAUAUGAGUUUUGUCAUUUACCAUACCAGCUCUGGGAUCUUAACUUUUUAGCCUCUCUGGGCUUCAGAGCUCUCAUCUACAUUAAGUUUUUCAUUCAUUCUGUCAUUCAAUAAAUAUUUAUGGAAUGCUUAGCAUGUGCCACUAGUCUAGCAACUGUGGAUACUGAAGUACGCAAGGCAGAAUAGUACUUGCUAUCUGAAGCACACGGUUUAAUUGGGGUGGGGAAAGAGUUGGUGGGGAGGGUCUCAUUAAACAUAUAAGCCAAAUAAACCAAAAUUACAGGUAGAGUUAAGGCCAUGGCAGAGCAACUGAAGGUGAUGAAUUCAGAGAGGCCAGGAAGGGACCCUCUGAAGCGAUCAUAUCUGAACUGAGUUUUUGAGUCAACUAAAUGAGAUAGUGUCUGUGAAUGUCUUAGAAUCAUGUCUGGCAUGUAAUAAGUGUCAUAAAUGAUAAGUAUUACUAUUUAUAAAAACUUGUCAAAAAAUGAACCAAAAAUACAAGCAGCUUGUCUUUCACAUAUAAAAUACUAUAGUUGCAACAUGUAUAUGUCUUUGUAUAGUGAGAAAGCAUAUUGUAUGUAUAUUAUAUUUCAUUUGAGUAAGUUAUUUUUUAACUGAAGGAAUCUCCUAUUUUGGUUCUGAAAUAGUUAACGUUCCUUUUAAGUAGUCUCAUUUAUACCUUGAGAGUGAUUUAAUUACCCACAGCAUCUGUUUAACAUUGUACUCACAGAGAAAUCACAGAAACGUAUGCAACAUUGGUUGUUCCUAAGUAGAUUCAAUGUUCUCUAAGGUCUCAUUAACCUGUAAGUUCUCACAUGUUUGUUACAUCUGAGCUAAUGAAGAAAUAGCCAGGGGUAAGGAACUGAGAAAGAGACUAUGGCUGUCUCAACACAAACCCAUUCCAGGACUGUAAAAAAUAUCUGACAAGUCAUAUCUUCCCAGUGUGGUAGUAAAAUCACUGGAGUGUAUUGGAUGGUAUAAGCAACUGAAGAGGAUUAAGAAUGGCCUCUGUGGCUGGGCACAGAGGUUCACGCUUGUAAUCUCAGAACAUUGGGAGGCUUAGGUGGGAGAAUCACUUGAACUCAGGAGUCUGAGACCAGCUUGGGCAACAUAGGAAGACCCCCACCUCUACAAAAAAAAAUUAAAAAUUAGCUGGGUCUCGUGGUGCACGUCUGUGGUCCCAGCUACUCAAGAGGCUGAGGUGGGAGGAUUGCUUGGGCCCAGGAGGUUGAGGCUGCAGUGAGCCAAGAUCACACCACUGCACUCAAGCCUAGGUGAUGGAGCAAUAACCACUCUAGAAAAAAAAAAAGAAAAAAGAAAGGAAAAAAAAAAAGAAUGGUCUCUUUGCCAGGCAUUUCUCCUUUAGUCCCUAAAAAACAUAGGCAGUAGGUAGCUGCCUCAAGUUGGAUUCUUCAGAAGCUGACCCUUAGACGCAGGAGAGAGAAGUGUAAGAUGGGGAUAAAAGUCUCUUUUCCAGGUAAAGUCUCUGCCUGGGCUGGGGUAUUCUAGGGUAAUGUGUAAAUUACACAUUGAAGUUUGUCCUUAUUUGAGGUUAGAGAAUUAGGCUUUCAAACUCCUGCACCAGUCACUCACUGGCUAUGACCCCAAGCAGCUCCAGUAGCCCAAGGGCAGUUCCCCAAAGACAGCCACAGAUAUGGGCUGGGCAAGCAAAUGACAGAGGGGCUUUCUGCACAGAAAUGAUGAAGGAGGCCCACAGAAUCAGGGCAGAGCCCUACCCGUGCUCUACGGCAUUCAUAUCCCCAAUUUACAUGGGAGAAAAUCCGACACUCAGAGAGGUCAAGUACUUCAUUAAAGGUAACUGUUUAAGGGGCAGAGCUUGGCUACAAACCCAGACAGAUUUGACUCCACAGUUCAUGCUCACUCUUCUCUACCAAAUGUGCCUCCCUUUCCUGACCAUCAGUUAUAUAUUCAGGAACAUAUUCUGUAUUUAUAUAAAUAGACAUUAUUAACCUAGCUUCCUGAGGCAGAAGAUUCUAUCAGGAAUUGUAGUGAAAUAUUAUAUUUGGGGAUCUCUAGAAGAGCACUACCUAAAAUCAAUGCAAUGAAAGCUACCUGUGUAAUUUAAAAUUUACUAGUGCU